ACGUGGGUGAUCUGCCCUGCACUUCGGGAUAAGCUUGGGAAACUGGGUCUAAUACCGGAUAGGAGCCAUCUUUAGUGUGGUGGUUGGAAAGUUUUUCGGUGUAGGAUGAGCUCGCGGCCUAUCAGCUUGUUGGUGGGGUAAUGGCCUACCAAGGCGGCGACGGGUAGCCGGCCUGAGAGGGUGUACGGCCACACUGGAACUGAGACACGGUCCAG
rnacentral:rRNA from 1 species